UUCUCCUGACUUGAACAAAUGAUAAAGUUCAGAUUUCAGUUGAGCUCAAUGCAGCAUGCCUCCACUGGAUAUUGUUUGUCUCUCCUGCUGUCCUUUUGGAUGGAGGUGACUAACCAGGCCAAACUCCAGGUCUUCUAUGUCACUCGCUGCUCAAGGAGUCCAGCUAACUGGGACAACAGAUCAUACUUUGGCUUUGAAGAUCUUAACUGACCACUGGAGAGGAGCUGAGCCACCUGCAGAACUUCCAUGCCUUGCAGAUGAAUUGAUAUAGAAGAAACAAUUAACUAAUCCAUUGUAUUGGAUGAACAUGCCUCAGUUCUCCCAAGAAAAAGGAAUAUUUUACAUUGCAGUUCAUAAUAAAGACACUCAAAAUGC